rnacentral:rRNA from 1 species
AUUGAACGCUGGCGGCAUGCUUUACACAUGCAAGUCGAACGGUAACAGGCCGCAAGGUGCUGACGAGUGGCGAACGGGUGAGUAAUGCAUCGGAACGUGCCCAGUCGUGGGGGAUAACUACUCGAAAGAGUAGCUAAUACCGCAUACGAUCUAUGGAUGAAAGCGGGGGACCGUAAGGCCUCGCGCGAUUGGAGCGGCCGAUGUCAGAUUAGGUAGUUGGUGGGGUAAAGGCUCACCAAGCCAACGAUCUGUAGCUGGUCUGAUAGGACGACCAGCCACACUGGGACUGAGACACGGCCCAGACUCCUACGGGAGGCAGCAGUGGGGAAUUUUGGACAAUGGGCGCAAGCCUGAUCCAGCAAUGCCGCGUGCAGGAAGAAGGCCUUCGGGUUGUAAACUGCUUUUGUAUGGAACGAAACGGCUCUGGUUAAUACCCGGGGCUAAUGACGGUACCGUAAGAAUAAGCACCGGCUAACUACGUG